rnacentral:rRNA from 1 species
UGGGGAAUAUUGCACAAUGGGCGCAAGCCUCAUGCAGCCAUGCCGCGUGUAUGAAGAAGGCCUUCGGGUUGUAAAGUACUUUCAGUCGGGAGGAAGGUGGUAAGGUUAAUAACCUUAUCAAUUGACGUUACCGACAGAAGAAGCACCGGCUAACUCCGUGCCAGCAGCCGUGGUAAUACGGAGGGUGCAAGCGUUAUUCGGAAUUACUGGGCGUAAAGCGGACGCAGGCGGUCUGUCAAGUCGGAUGUGAAAUCCCCGGGCUCAAGCUGGGAACUGCAUUCGAUACUGGCAGGCGAGAGUCUUGUAGACGGUGGGAGAAUUCCAGGUUUAGCGGUGAAAUGCGUAGAGAUCUGGUGGAAUACCGGUGGCGGAGGCGGCCCCCUGGACAAAGAAUGACGCUCAGGUGCGAAAGCGUGGGGAGCAAAAAGG